rnacentral:rRNA from 1 species
AUGAACGCUAGCUACAGGCUUAACACAUGCAAGUCGAGGGGCAGCAUGGUCUUAGCUUGCUAAGGCCGAUGGCGACCGGCGCACGGGUGAGUAACACGUAUCCAACCUGCCGUCUACUCUUGGACAGCCUUCUGAAAGGAAGAUUAAUACAAGAUGGCAUCAUGAGUCCGCAUGUUCACAUGAUUAAAGGUAUUCCGGUAGACGAUGGGGAUGCGUUCCAUUAGAUAGUAGGCGGGGUAACGGCCCACCUAGUCUUCGAUGGAUAGGGGUUCUGAGAGGAAGGUCCCCCACAUUGGAACUGAGACACGGUCCAAACUCCUACGGGAGGCAGCAGUGAGGAAUAUUGGUCAAUGGGCGAGAGCCUGAACCAGCCAAGUAGCGUGAAGGAUGACUGCCCUAUGGGUUGUAAACUUCUUUUAUAAAGGAAUAAAGUCGGGUAUGGAUACCCGUUUGCAUGUACUUUAUGAAUAAGGAUCGGCUAACUCCGUGCCAGCAGCCGCGGUAAUACGGAGGAUCCGAGCGUUAUCCGGAUUUAUUGGGUUUAAAGGGAGCGUAGAUGGAUAUUUAAGUCAGUUGUGAAAGUUUGCGGCUCAACCGUAAAAUUGCAGUUGAUACUGGAUAUCUUGAGUGCAGUUGAGGCAGGCGGAAUUCGUGGUGUAGCGGUGAAAUGCUUAGAUAUCACGAAGAACUCCGAUUGCGAAGGCAGCCUGCUAAGCUGCAACUGACAUUGAGGCUCGAAAGUGUGGGUAUCAAACAGGAUUAGAUACCCUGGUAGUCCACACGGUAAACGAUGAAUACUCGCUGUUUGCGAUAUACUGCAAGCGGCCAAGCGAAAGCGUUAAGUAUUCCACCUGGGGAGUACGCCGGCAACGGUGAAACUCAAAGGAAUUGACGGGGGCCCGCACAAGCGGAGGAACAUGUGGUUUAAUUCGAUGAUACGCGAGGAACCUUACCCGGGCUUAAAUUGCAGAUGAAUUACGGUGAAAGCCGUAAGCCGCAAGGCAUCUGUGAAGGUGCUGCAUGGUUGUCGUCAGCUCGUGCCGUGAGGUGUCGGCUUAAGUGCCAUAACGAGCGCAACCCUUGUUGUCAGUUACUAACAGGUUCCGCUGAGGACUCUGACAAGAUUGCCAUCGUAAGAUGUGAGGAAGGUGGGGAUGACGUCAAAUCAGCACGGCCCUUACGUCCGGGGCUACACACGUGUUACAAUGGGGGGUACAGAGGGCCGCUACCACGCGAGUGGAUGCCAAUCCCCAAAACCUCUCUCAGUUCGGACUGGAGUCUGCAACCCGACUCCACGAAGCUGGAUUCGCUAGUAAUCGCGCAUCAGCCACGGCGCGGUGAAUACGUUCCCGGGCCUUGUACACACCGCCCGUCAAGCCAUGGGAGCCGGGGGUACCUGAAGUGCGUAACCGCGAGGAGCGCCCUAGGGUAAAACUGGUGACUGGGGCU